UGGUUGAGAGUUCUCGCGAAGGCGUGCAGG
rnacentral:piRNA from 1 species